GAAGAAGACCGGGACACCAGCUACCUCUUGGAGGACCAUCUACUCCGCGGAGCCUCAGAAGAAUGACUCUUACCUGUCCUUGGCACCUCGCGAAUUGCUGUGCGUUUGAUGAAGACCUCAGUCACACCUUGCUGGGCUGGAGUGGAGAGCUCAUUACAGCCAGAGGAGACAAGUGCAUGGGAAAGAAUGAAUAGAGGUGGCUGUGCAUGUGAGAAAGACAUAGAAAGAGAGAGAGUAUAGGGUGUAGACUGUGCAGAAAGUAGUAAAUAUGAGCAAUGGGGAAAGCCCCUUGUAAGGUGAAAUAAGGGGCACUUGGGGACUCUCCUUGUACAUUGCACCUGUCUUAUCAUUUAACUCUUAUUUGUUGGUCUUACUAAACUGUCAGCAAUUCCCUGCCUUCUUGGCCUUUACCUGUAAAAUGCCAUGGAAAUGCUGACAGGCUGCCAAACCGGAGCUGUCUGGAAACAGACUGCUGUUGGCUUUUCUUUGACUUCUACCACGUAUUGUCAGAAUUAAAUGUACACGCAAAGCGCUGCACUUACUAUUUAUAUACCACAGCCCACCUUUUCAAAUACAAAUUCAUUUAACAGCAGCGUUCUCCAAUUGACUCUUUACUUUCACAACUCACCGGUAACUGAGUAAUACAUAUUUUCCCCCUGAAACGUGCCUCACCCAUUCCUGCAGUCGGUGUCAGUGAUGUUUCGUGUAAUUGUGUAUUUUUCUGGACCGAUUCAAUUGUCUCUUGAUGUAUUCCUCGCUCAGCUGAGCAUGUCAUUACACACAUCAUUUGUGUGCAAUUUAAUGUGGUAUGCAACAAGGUUACAUUUCUAUGGUGGUUCAAUUUGAGGACUCGUAGCAUUUCCGCUGCAAUCAUUUCUCUCUUCUCUGUCUCUCUUUUUCCACUCGGGCUCAGAAAUUGCUUCGGCGAUGACUACGCACUCCUUUGCCUCGCUCGGUCAUGCCACAAUUUUAGGUUCACGUUGGGAGAUAUUCCAAUUAUCAGUCAGGUUAUGUGAUGUAAAUGGUAACUUUCUCUUUUUAGCCUGGGUGUGCUGAUCAAUUUUUUACUCAAGUGGACUGCAUCAUAAAAUUCUAUCUGCUGCUUUAUGUCCUUUUCACUGGAUGUAGCAGUUGUAGGAUUUAUAUGCUUCUCAUCAUCUUGAAUGGGGAUUGUACUGAGUAGGGAUGUGCAUUUCAAGCAAAAUUACUAUUCGGGGAGCUAAUCAAUCAUUUUUCGAAAAUCCCCCGCGUGCCUUUAACGGCAUGUAGGGUUGGCACAUUUUCCCAUCUAAAGCUAUAAAUUAAGGGUGUAUUUCGACCACAUUGUUGGAACAGUGGAGGAGACCUGUGGAAAACCAAGACAGUUUUGAUGAGUUUUAUUCUGUUUCUGUCCGGUUUGAAUGAAGUGAAGGGAAGUUUUACGAUGUUCCGCCGCUUGAACAGAUGAUCUACCAGCUGAAACUACGGGGGGGCACACACAAACACAUACACACACAAACACACCUGCCCCAACAGAAAAGAGCCAAACUGAACGUGCCACACGUUGUACCGGUAGUAACUUUACUACCGGGUGGCGCCUGCGACGGUUAAACAAGGGAAAAUAUAUUUAUUAAGAGAUCAUGAUAGUCGCAUAAACCAUUCGAUUUUUUUUUUUUAAAUUGAAUGACUGUUCGAAAAAUUCAAAAUCAUGACCCAUCUCUUGUACUGUGGUGUGUUUCUGGUAAUCUUAAAUGCAACGGACUGCAGUUGUAACUGGGUCAGUUAGUAUUAGCCUAUACAUUUUUAGAAUUAGUUUUACCUUUCAUAAAGGACAGUUAAAAGUCAGUGCAACAAAAUUUGGACAGGCACAGGAAAGUAGUCAAAUGUCAAGUUUAUGUAAUAUUUUAUGUCCGUUAUCUGAACUGCACUAAUACAGGUUUCUCCAACCAAGGUCCUGUACAAACACUAAAAAUUAUUUGGUAGCUUUAUUUGAUCAAGGCCGUAUGGUCGCCUUCUCUUUGACCUAUCAUAGAAUAAUUAUGGCCUCCUAUUACCUUUCUUUGUUUUGCUUGACACGCUGUUCAAUCACAAUGCCACGGUGUAUGUGAAAGUGACAGGAUUAUCAUUAACUUUAAUUACUGUGUGCCAAGUCAUCUGAAGGCAGUGUUUUGUCCCGGGAACCGCCCCAGCCCCCCGCUCGCAGCCACAGGCCCUGUCCUUCAUCACCUGUGAAGGUCUAAUCUUAUCUGCGGCUGUUGCAUGGCCCUUCAUUAAUCACUCCCCCGGCCCAAUCAAACGGUGACUGAUGGUUGACGCGGCCUUGUCCGGCCAUCCCUCAGGUGCUGGGAGCCGGCGUUGGAUUGGCCGGGGCACAAAUGCGGUAUAGAUUCUGUGGCCGGCGUCAGCGUGUGCAUAAACACGGCGGUGUCCUCUACACGGGGGUACACGGCAUGCCAUGUAACCCUGUGCCAACAAUCCAGUGCACCCGAAGUUCAACACAUUGUUCCGCUGCUGCUGACCUUGUCUCAUCAGGAGCGGCUAACUCUUCAAGCUGUGAUCAUGGUACUGUAUAUAUUUUUGCUCAAUGACACAAAACUUUUUACUUGUUUGACCAAAACUGAGACAUAAAAUUGUCAUCCUAUCUUUUUGUGAGCCAGGGCUCGAGUUUAAGAACGUCCCAUCGUCCUGGUGCGAAAAAAUUAUGAUCGGGGAGGAUGAAAAUUAAUUUUGGGAUGAAUUUGGGACGAGAGUUGAAAGAAAAAUACCUGCUCCAUUAGAAUGAACGAUGAUGAAAAUGACUGCAUGUUUUGCGUAGCGCACCGUUAUUAUAAAACAUAAACACAUACACGCAUACGUAGCCUACUGUCAGUGCCUGGCCCGGUCCCGCACACACACACACACACAGAAUAUACGCCGGGCUCUGACCCCACGACAGCCGCAGGAGCAACGGAAAAUUAUUCCCAAGUCAAUGAGGUAAUCUUUCUAGUAUUAACGUUACCAUCGCAUUUUUUUCCGUGGCAACAUACUGCAUCUCUGCCCAGGACUGAAGCAUCUUGUCCUGCAGCUCCGCCAACUUUAGGAUGCACCAACUUUAGGAUGCACCAGCUAGCAGGGUCGGUUCCAGCUUUUUGGGGGCUCAUAUGCAAAAUCGUUUUUUUUUUUAUUUGUACACAUAAAAAAUAUUUGAAUUUACCUUAGCUGCAUUGUUAACAUCAAAAUCAAAACAAACAUGCAAAUUCUAAAUAAAACAAAACAAAACAAUAAAACUACUUUUUAAAAUAAAAAUAAGUUUUGGAUAAAUUACAAGUUCAUGAACAAAACUAAAACCACUUUUGAUGUUCGAUUUAUGUUAAAGGUCACUUUGAAUGAUCAACUAAUCAUAAUGUAGAAAAACAAAGAUUUUAAAUUUGGGGCAGUCCACAUUUAUUUCAAGACCACUUGUAGGUUGUACUUCGGGACGGUUCUGGGACGAUGGUGAAAAAUGUUCGUUUAGAGCCCUGUUGUGAGCUCAGUAGAAGAUGUGCAGUGGCUGACCAGUGAUAUCAUGAAUGGAAAGGGUGUGUGUGUGUGUGUGGUGAAAGGAGGUUGCAGGUAGGAGGAGGAGGAGGGAGAUGGAAUAGAAAUAGUUUGUUCUAGUAGCAGCAGGAUAUAAAUGGCACAAAGAUGAAACAAAUCAACCUUAGGUAGCCCCGGCCGUUAGCCAAUCCAUAGUAAUCAGUGAGGCUGCAUUGAGCUCUCCGCUUCAUGGACCCUUACCAAUCAGCAGAGAAAACAGAGAUCUGUCAUCUGUUUUCCUCUGCUCACUGACGGGGGCAAGGGGGCAGUGAGAGUGAAGUGUGGUAAUUAUAUAUGAAGUGUGUGUAUGGAAGGGGUUGGGGGGCGUAUGCGUCGGUGUUUUAGUGUCAUAAUCCCCUUUUUUAAAGUGUCUUUUUUUUUUUUUGUUCUACACUAUUUGUCAGUCACUCAACAGAGGGUGUCCUGCUGGCAACGUGAUUAGAGGAUUGAUCAGGGAUGUGAGCUAAUACAUGCCCACCGCUGAUGUCAAAACACAGAUGGCAUGACUCACUGUGCAGCCUUCUAAAAGAGAUUUUGUUUAAUCUUGUCUUAUGGACAAGUCUGGCCAAAUGACUUCCAGGGGGAUGUGCCGCGUCUAUUUGUAUUGAUCUCCAUUAAUUGCUGUGACAGGAAAAUGUGAAAUUAAACACAAGGCGGUGUGUAAUUUGGAAAACAUCACUUAUCUCCUCGCACAACGUGCGGGCACAAAGGCAGCGAACAUAUAGACAAGAGAUGUGCACACGCGUAGACAAGCGCACAACAUCUGUUUUGUAUGCAGUGGCGUGACAAAAUGAUCUUCCUGGUAGGCAGAUGAUUUGGCAUCGGUUCGCUCAGGUUUUCAUAACCUUUGGAUGCCUCCCAUCCUUGUCCUACAGAGAACCGAGGACAAAGCUCUGCCCUAUUAGAGAUGAAUAAUGGGCCUGUUGGCAAAAGAGACGUUGCUAAUGUUUUGUCCAAAUAUCUCAAAUCUGUCCCCAAUGAUAAUGUAUUCUGCGGCAGUGCCAAACAGCUCUAUAUUUGAAGAGGUGAUUUCAUUGCAGAUAUGGCUUAUACAAUCUUUAGAUUGGAAAAGGAAAUAAACAAAAUCCCCCCUCACAUUGUAAUGUCUGGCGGGUGUAUGGGCAUCACAAUAAGGGCUUAGUUUGUUUUCCUGUAAUUGAUGCUUUGCCUGUGUGGCGGCAUAGCUUUGUUUGUUUAUGCUAAUGGCUGUGAUGACCUGUUGGUCCCCAAUCUAGCAGGGAAAUGGCAGCCAAUGCUUUGGGGAGUGAGCCAUUGAUCUCUCUUCAGUGCCUCUUUCUUCACAGGUACUUGGGAUUAACUGAGCCAGAGCAAGACAAAGGGAAAACGUUACAAAAGAAGGCAAAAAAAAAAAAAUCAAAUUACUUCUGGUAUAUGCAUGUAUAGCACAUCAGCUUCAGGCAAAUUGAUGCUUCUACCAAGCUGCCUGGUGUAAAAGUGCUCACUCUGCUUCCCUUAUAUCGGGCUCUUGAGGCAUGAUGCUGCCUUAACAGCACAGCUGUAAUUCCCCUAAGCAGUGCACUAUGCAAUAACUAUUAUACAUGAA